rnacentral:rRNA from 1 species
GGGAGGUAGUGACAAUAAAUAACAAUACAGGGUCCUUUCGGGUCUUGUAAUUGGAAUGAGUACAAUUUAAAAUCUCUUAACGAGGAACAAUUGGAGGGCAAGUCUGGUGCCAGCAGCCGCGGUAAUUCCAGCUCCAAUAGCGUAUAUUAAAGUUGUUGCAGUUAAAAAGCUCGUAGUUGAAUUUCGGGGUUAGCAGGUCGGUCGUGCCAUCGGUAUGAACUGGCCUCGCUGAUCCCUCCCUCUUGACGAACUGUGAUGCCAUUAAUUUGGUGUCGCAGGGAAUCAGGACUGUUACUUUGAAAAAAUUAGAGUGUUUAAAGCAGGCUCACGCUUGAAUACAUUAGCAUGGAAUAAUGAAAUAGGACGUUUGAUCCUAUUUUGUUGGUUUCUAGGAUUGACGUAAUGAUUAAUAGGGAUAGUUGGG